ensembl:lncRNA
AAAAUGUAAAACUAAUUGUUUUCUGUGACUAAUCACACAUUAAAACUUAAUCUUAAAAUGUAAAUGUUAAACCCCCAAAUUAAUGUAUAAUUUAAAAAAAUGGAGUAUGUCUUAAAUAAUAUAUACCAACAUGUUUUUACCAAGUACUGUCAUAGUGGGUAUUGUGAUUCAACAGUGAGGCUUUUAUAAUUGUUAUUACUGUUCUUAUUCGUCUUUUUCACUCUUUCAUGCUGUGUUUCCCUUCCAGCUAUUUGGAGUUUCCUAGCGGCUUUAUAAGAGUGUGUUUUCUUCAACGUGCUUCAUCAAUAAUUCUGUGCGGUAGAAUCAGAUCUCCAGAGACACAAAGUGGGCGCUGAGGGACACUGAAACCCUUUUUGCUCAUCAUAUUCAUCCGUACUGCGCUCUGGUGUCCUCUUUUUUUUCCCCUCCUCAUCUGUUGUUAUUUAUCAUGUGUGCUGCAUGGUCCUUCUUCCCGUGCAGGACACUGCUGAACAGCUGAUCUGCCGUUAGCUGCGUAAAUUUCCCUCACGGUGAGCAGCUCCCAGAGCCCAGCUGAAUUAAUCACAGCCACACAGGCGCGGGGGAGGAGGGGGGGGGGCAGCCUGAGGAUGAGGACGGAGAGAAGGGUAGAAGAACCCGUGCUGUGAGAAGAGGUCAGAGCUGGAACAUCCAUGGAGUGAAAGGGAUUCUGACAUUUCCCCCACCACAUUCAAAGCCACCAAGCUCUACAGUAGUAGAAAACUUCAGACCUGUCUCUCCUCUCCGGUUCUUGGCAAAAACACUUGAGGGAGUGGUUUUCAAUCAGGUGACUUUUUUCCUCUCGCAGAAGUACCUGCUAGGUCGCAAUCAGUCAGGCUUCAGAAGCGGACAUUUAACGGAGGCCGCCUCGCUAUCCGUCACCAAGGCCUCAUGGCUGGCCAGAGCUGCUCCGGAUCAUCCGUCCUCAUUCCGCUAGACAUGUCUAGAGCCCGAGACAUUAUAAAUCACCAGAUAUUCUUGUCAACCCUCUUGUUACUAUAAUUGCAAUCUGUUGCUUUGGGUCUCAUGUCACAGGUAGAUAUUUCAGGGUAUUUUGAUGAGAAAGUGUUUCUACUGUAAGUUGUGUAGUCUAACCAUCAGCAUUCAGUGAUCGGCUCCCUCCUGCUUUAAAAUCCUGCUUCAAAAACCUUUAAAAAUCUGCCCCAUUAUACACUGUAACUGAGACAAUGAGUGAGGAAUCAAAUGUAUUAUUUUAUGGUGAUCAACAUUAUGCCACAAAUGAUGUUCAUUCGGCCUGGUCUAUUUAUUUAUUUUUUCUUUUUCUAAUACAUAGGUAUUCGUAUGUAAUAUUAACAGGUACAAAUGUAUUUGUAUUUAGGUAGAUGCUAAAAUGUAUAAUAAUUAGGGCUAUAGUACUCGAGUCCGGUCUCGAGACAUUUUUCUAUCGUCUCGGACUCGUUGGUGUUUGCACUCGGACUUGUCUCGGACUUGGUCAUUGGACUCGGCAAAUGUUCUGAUUGUUCUCGACUGAGUCCAGCAAUAUGCUUUUUUCCCCUUCAAAAUAAAACCACAUUUGCAUGUCGUGCCUGAAAAUGC